ACACUUCAACUCUCAGUGGCUUUGUUUUUAUCACCAAAACUUCAAAACUCACAGCACCAUUUCAAAGGUUUUUGGAUUCCAGUCCUACAAUGCACCUCGUUUGCAUAACUAAUGAUCUUUGUUUAUUACAGAGAGCGAAACUGCACACUCCGCACCAGGUUUUUGGUGGAGUUGUAUUGGGUCGGAUCGGAUCGGAUUGGAUGCGAAGAGUGUUUCCAUGAGAGAUAGGAAAUUUCAAACCUCCGUUUGGUUGGUGUCGAUAUUGUGUAUUGUGAUUGGAUGUGGUUCUGAGCUCUAUCAACUGAGUUUUGUGUAGAAAUCGAAGCUGAACUGUGGGAUUUUUCUCGUCUGUGAAGCUCCUGUCUCGCGAUUCAGCAGAAAUGACGCCUCUCACAAUGGUGAGUCUUUUUUGUGGUAAUGGAAGUGGCAUGGUUUCUUAGCGCUGACUCAAUGAAGCUCUUAAUGGGGCGAGGCAUCUCUCAUUUUGUAUUGCAGUACGUCGGACCGACUCCUGCCCAUGUGUUCAAAGACUUCCCACGCGAUAAUCAAAACAAGUUGCAGAAUGGAGGAAUCGUGGGACAAGGUCAGUUUCUAGGGCCAGAGAGCUUGACGUUCGACGCACAAGGCCGGGGACCUUACACAGGUGUCAGCAACAAUCGCAUUCUGCGAUAUGACGGUCCGGAGCGAGCGUGGACCACCUCCGCAUACACGUCAAAAAACAAGUUUGCGCUUGUUCACCUCAAAAUUCUUCACUAGGAUCUCGCAUUCUAAACUUUAGGAUGAUGCCAUAGAAAAGCUUCAGUUGGCACUGGACAAGAAUUGUGAAGUCGGGAAUGUUUUUACGAGUUCAGAGGUGUGCAGGUCGAAAGUGUGCACGCCCAAGACCCCAAUAGCCCCGAACUUUGCCUUUGAGCAUGUUAUUAUUUGAACUUUUGAAAGCCAUUAUCGCAUCUGCAAAUAGCCCAAGAAAACGAGAGCCAUGGCGUGUGGCAAGCAGGGGUCGAGACUCACACACUCAGUGUAUCGAAUUGUGUUCGGCCAGUGGCGACUAAUUUUGAUUGCUGCUAGAGUGAAUUCAUCUUUUUGCCAAAAAUUGCGGUAGGAGCCAAUUACUCCGUUGCAAGUUGGUCAGAUUCUGGUUUUACUUAUAAAGAAUUUUUAUGAUAGUUAAUCAAGUUGAAGGGUAGAGAUGUUAGUUCUUAAGUGAGGGGUAAAUUUGCAAUUAUCAAGAAUACAGGGGUACGUAUGAUAUGUAUGAGCUUUCCCCUAAAUAGUAGUACUUUGUGUGCUAUUUACAAUGUUAUAGAUGUGAAGCAAGCUGAGGACUUAUAAUGAGUCAUAAAUUUAUAUA